rnacentral:rRNA from 1 species
CCUGGCGGCCAUAGAGAGGGGGUCACACCCGAUCCCAUUCCGAACUCGGCAGUUAAGCCCCUCUUCGCCGAUGAUACUGCAAGUUCACUUGUGGGAAAGUAGGUCGCUGCCAGGG